UACGGAGGGUGCGAGCGUUGUCCGGAAUCACUGGGCGUAAAGGGCGCGUAGGCGGCCUGAUAAGUAGGGGGUGAAAUCCUGCGGCUUAACCGCAGGGCUGCCUUCUAAACUGUCAGGCUAGAGCACAGUAGAGGCAGGUGGAAUUCCCGGUGUAGCGGUGGAAUGCGUAGAGAUCGGGAAGAACAUCAGUGGCGAAGGCGGCAUCCUGGUCUGCGACUGACGCUGUGGCGCGAAAGCUAGGGGAGCGAACGGG
rnacentral:rRNA from 1 species